GGAACGAGAGCAACAGAGCAAGAAAGCUUACAACAGGAGUGCAUGAGGCCUUAGAGUCACAUAGCAGGCAGCAGCGGUCCUCCAAACAGCAAAGGCAACAUGAUGCGAGCAGGAGCCAGGCAGUAUGUGGUGGCCAGGCCGCUGUACUCUGAGGAUUCAUUCAACGAGGAGCACAAGAAGGUCUACAGGCAUCACAAGACAGCCCUGGACCAUGUCAAGCAGUACUUCAGAUGUGACGCCAAACGGGCCAAGAACGCAGCUCUCUCUCUGCUGCCGAUCAUAGGCUGGAUGAAAAUCUACAGAAUCAAAGAGUGGCUGCUCAGUGACAUCGUGUCUGGUGUCAGCACAGGACUGGUGGCUGUCUUGCAAGGUCUUGCCUACUGCUUGCUGGCCUCUCUGCCUCCCUGGUAUGGACUCUUUGCUGCCUUCUUUCCAAUCAUCCCCUACUUUUUCUUGGGCACCUCUAGACACAUCUCAGUGGGUCCUUUUCCAGUCUUGUGUCUGAUGAUUGGCUCGGUGGUGACUAGACUCAUCCCAGACGAAGGGCCAGCUGCCAACAUCACAGGAUUUUCAGGUCUGACGGUAGACGAGCAGAGAGUGUUGGUGGCCUCCUCUGUGACCUUCCUCGUUGGCAUCAUGCAGCUGGCAAUGGGAAUCCUACAGGUGGGCUUCGUGGUCAUGUACCUGUCUGACACCCUGGUCUCCGGGUUCACCACAGCUGCUGCCAUCCAUAUCCUUGUGUCUCAGUUAAAGUUUGUGUUGGGGCUCCAGGUUCCUGGCAUCAGUGGACCCCUCUCCCUUAUAUAUACUCUGGAGAUUAUCUUCAAGAAGAUCACGUCCAGCAACGUGUGUGACAUUGUGAUCUCCCUUGUGAUCAUGGUGACGGUGUUUCUUGUGAAAGAGCUAAAUGACAGAUACAAAUCUAAACUGCCUGUUCCCAUCCCGAUAGAGGUUAUCAUGACUGUUAUUACUUGUGGAGUUUCUUAUGCUUUUGACUUCCGGACCAGAUAUGGCAUUGACGUUGUUGGAAAAAUUCCCCUAGGAUACGAGCCUCCAGUCGCCCCAAACCUUCAGGUCUUCCAGCACACGGCGAUGGAAGCUUUCCCAAUGGCUAUAGUGGGUUUUGCUGUGGCCUUCUCUGUGGCAAAAGUCUAUUCUAUAAAACAUGAUUACACAAUAGAUGGAAACCAGGAGCUGAUCGCCUUUGGAGUUAGCAAUAUCUUUGGAGCGUCCUUCAAGGCCUUCGCAGCAAGUACAACGCUUUCCAGGAGUGCGGUACAAGAAAGUACAGGGGGAAAAACUCAGAUCGCUGGUUUACUAUCAGCUGUUAUAGUGAUGAUUGUCACUUUGGCUAUUGGAUAUCUUCUUGAGCCUUUACCAAAGUCUGUACUGGGUGCCGUGGUCAUCAUCAACCUGAAGGGCAUGCUGAUGCAGUUCAAUGAAAUUCCUUACCUGUGGAGGAGAGACAGGCCAGAUUGUGUGGUGUGGAUGGUCACCUGCGGAGCGGCCAUCCUGCUGGGGCUGGAUCUUGGAUUGGCUGUUAGUCUUGGUGUGGAGUUGAUCUGCGUCGUCCUCCGGGUUCAGUUCCCUCGCUGCAGUGUGCUAGCCAACAUUGAGGGGACAGAAAUUUACAAAGACAGGAAGGACUACAUCUCUAUAAAUGAACCAGAGGGGGUGAAGAUUUUCAGAAUCCCGUCCCCAAUCUUCUUCGCCAACAUGGACUUCUUUAGGAACAAGCUAGUGGAAGCUCUUGGCUUCAAUCCUCUGAGAGUGUUGAAAAAAAGGAACAAAGCUCUAAGUAGAAUCCGGAAACUUCUGAAGAAAGGUGACCUCCAGUGGACAUCGAAAGGGUUCCUGAACACAACAAACGGUUCCCUGGUGGACCCGUUAGAAGACAGCGACAACGAGGAGCUGGACAAGCCCAUCGACUUCAAGGACCUUCCCAUCCGCAUCGACUGGAACGCCGAGCUUCCUGCCAACAUGGUGGUUCCCAGGGUGGACAUCCACAGCCUGGUGCUGGACUUCGCUGCUGUCUCCUUUCUGGACAUAUCUGGACUGAAGGGACUCAAAACCUUGCUGAAAGAACUGGUCCGUGUUGAAGUUGAGGUCUACAUCGUAGCUUGUGAUCCGUACAUCCUGGAGAAACUCCACAAGUGUUGCUUCUUUGAUGAGGAGGUUCAGCCCUCCAUGUUCUUCCUAACGCUGCACGACGCCAUGCUGCACAUUUUGGAGAAACAUCCAGAGACGACAGAAAGGAAAGCAGACCGGGAUAAGAUACUGACAACAGUGACGGUCCACCAUCCGAGUGGCAAUCUGAGGAGCAGAGAUAAAAAUCUGUAUGUAGGUCAAGGACGAAACACAUAAAGCACCACUCCAAAGAAAUAAAACAUGCCGUCUUCAUAAGCUCAUGCUUCGGUCUAUAUGCAGACCAUAAGCCUCACUCUGAGCUACAGGCAAAGCAGAGAAAUGUAAAAGUGAAGGAAUAAUCUGUUGGGUCCAGUGCCAGCUGCAGAGACCAAGUUCUAACCGGGACAGAAGACGAAAUCAAUAAACGAAACG